rnacentral:lncRNA from 1 species
AGUUAAUCCUCGACAACUUACAGGUAAAUAUAUUUCUUUACCAAGAAAAAAGAAAUCUAUUGCUUACCUAGAAAAUAUUCUACACAAAUUAUAGUGAUACAAAUACAAAGAGGAAAUUUAGAAUCAAAGGACAAAAUCCAACAUGAAGGAACAUUGAUCAAUUUUUAUCAUCCCAGAGUGAAAACCAUGCUUCUUCUGAUAACGUUAUGCUCCAACGGCUCUAAAUUUCGUAAAAUCUAAGAAUUAGUGUUCUUUAUAAGUAAAAAUGUAAAGGCGUGUGAAUGAGAUCUCUCUGAAGACAAAUGUGUUGUCCUCUAUACUCCAAAACUUAUGCCUUUUUCUCACGAUUGCGUUUUGUAAAAGGAAUAAUAUAUUAUGGGGCACUUGGAAACAGAAAAAUCUCAACUGCAGCAAUUAUGAGUUGUGCGCUAUGCUAUAAGAAAUGCAGUUUUCCCACUAUCCCAAGAAUUAAUAAUCAUAUAAAGAAAAAAGUUAAAAUGGUACAGGGAUAAAGCACUCCUAAGGCAAGAGCCAGAAAUAGAGAGUGGAGCAUGAAAUUUAUGUGUUUUCUUAUAAUAUCAAGAAUUAUUCAUCAAAUGAACUCACCCAAAAAAUCCUUAUCCCGUACAUGAGAUAACCUAUUCUUCUAGCCACGAACAAAACUCUUAACUCAUAUUAAGCCCACUUUUAAAGCUAAUCAAG